rnacentral:lncRNA from 1 species
UUUUUUUUUUUUUUUUUUUUUUUUUUUUACCACCAGAAGCUGUUCAGAAUGUUAUUUUCUUAAAUAGUUCGGAAAAAAGUCUUGAUGUAUUCUAUGAAAGCACAAAAAUAGUCAGUUUCUAUGACAGCUGGAUUGUCAACGUCUGUUCAGCUUACGUGGAGGAGGAUGUCCUACUUGAGUAGUAUAGGUAGAAAUAGCUAUCAGAAAUUGCCGCCUUUGAAAGCAAUUUGAAAUUAUGUAAAAGGAAGUAAUGACAAAAUAAAGCAAUUUAUGUUUAAUCUGGAAAAGAUCCAAAAGUAAUAUUGUAAAGAGAUCUUGAGUAAUCAUUUUUAUCUUCCUAAAAUAGCCGUUGUUUACUCCCGUAAGCGAGUAAGAAACUUGUGCCAUUAUUCCUUAUUGGGUGCAUAUAGAUUUCUCACCUUGUCAUUCAACUCCUUGCAAUAUUCAACUUUACUUAUGCAUCCAGCCUUAUCCCAAAAUAGCCUCUUCCCUGUAGCAGCUUCCUUAUCAUGUAGCAGCCUACUCUCCUCACCGCUCAUCCGUUCUUAUACAAUCUGGCUUAAGCUCUACCUCUUCAUAUUAUAUUCUUCUCUGAGUAAUUUCAACUCACACUGAGUCUUACUUUCAGUAUUUCUAUUAUAUUGGUAUUUAUUACACAUCACACUUAGAUACUUUUCCAUUAGUCUCUAGAGGGUACAUAUAUGCACUUUCUCUUUUUUUUUUUUUUUUUGACCAUGUCAAGUAUAGUUCUAUAGUAUAAUAGAAUGAAUUGGAGAUCCUUUACAUUUAGAGAGGGAGGAGUCUACAGUAGGAAGAAUAGGUUAAUUUUCAUCUCCGGUUUGAAAUCAGGACUUUCAAUUUUUUUUUCAGAGGUAAAGAGCAACUUAGUCAAGUUGGCAUCUUGUAAACAGACUGAGUGAAGAUAUACUUAAAAUGCAUCUAUAAUUUCAUAUUUUAUUUCGAAAUGUGAAAGAGCCUACUAGGGGUGUCUGUGAUCUCUAGACCUUAUCAAUUCAUUCUAGAGAAAUCUGGAGGGAGCCAUUGAGGAGUUCUACCUCCUGUCUAUUUUAUAGAGCUCUUUCUCUUUUUCUCCUAUCAGAUGUAGAUUCAAUUGCUAAAAAUGCCACGUUUCUUGCCUCUAUUAUUCUAGCUUCAUUACUUGGGGAGCAGCCAUUCUGAUAACUUACAUUUUGCUACUAAAAUCUCCAACUUCACCUAAUCCUUCAUUAUAAGCCACUUCAUUUUUUCCUAUAAUUAAAAUUUUAAAUAUGUGGAGGAAAUUCUGUCAGGUAGAUAUGACUUAAAACCUACUAAGGGCCAGGUGCAGAGGCUCACGCCUGUAAUCCCAGCACUUUGAGAGGCCAAGUCAGGAGGAUUGCUUGAGCCCAGGAGCUUGAGACCAGCCUGGGCAACAGAGCGAGACCCCUGUCUUCACAAAAAAAAAAAAAAAAAAA